UUGUGACCUGGAGUUCUCCUCAAAUCACUUCAGUUGCGAGCUAGCUUCUGCCCCCCGUUGUUGCAUUGACAUUGUUUUAUAAGCGCACAAUGCGGGGAUAUAGAGUUCUGCGUAGUGAAGUGUUUGGGGGAACUCUGGGUGGCAA
rnacentral:pre_miRNA from 1 species